AUGGGGGAGAGCAAGAGGUACUCUACCUGCUCUAGCCAUGGCUUCUCGAUGCCGCUGUUCACCUUCUUCUCCUUCUUGUGCCUUCAUCUGUCCAUCGCCACCGCCGCCGGCAACCCGCCCCUUCCUCUAAACAGCACGCAGGAGUCCAUCAUGAGGGAUCUCUCGCGCUAUGUGGGCUCGGCCGGGUGGAACACAACCGUCUCCAAUCCAUGCCUAUGGAGAGGAAUCGGUUGCUCUCCUUCUGACUCCACUUCCUUCUCGGUGGUGACCGACAUCGAUUUGUCCAGCUACUCCAUGUCCAACCCCACGCUCUUUGCCUCCUUAUUCUCCCUCGACAGCUUACGCUCCCUCGACCUCUCCAAGAAUCACUUCACCGAUUUGACGGGCCAUUUCUCUCGUUGCCCCAUGAGCGCCGGGUUGCGGGUAGAGGUUCUCCUCGACGUCCUGAUUCCUUCAGGGCGCCACCGGCACUGCCCAGGGACAGCAGCGGCGGCUGGCUUAGGUCUUCCCGUCGCUGCAGCACUCCCCCUGAUCGGAUGGGCCCGGGGACGUCUCCUCCUUCUUGAUCUAGCAAGGGGGGAGGAGAAGUUGAGGGAGAGCUCCGGCAGCACGACGGCGUGGUGGCGGUGGAGCUCAUGGUUCUCCGGCAGAGCUUCGCUAAGCGCUACGGAGGAGGAGAAG
rnacentral:rRNA from 1 species